rnacentral:rRNA from 1 species
AGCGAACGCUGGCGGCGUGCCUAACACAUGCAAGUCGAACGUGAAAGGGAGCAAUCCCAAGUAAAGUGGCGUACGGGUGAGUAACACGUAGGUAAUCUACCCCAGAAUCUGGAAUAACCGGCCGAAAGGCUGGCUAAUACUGCAUAGAGCGACGGAAUCCGUAAUUGGGUUUUUCGGGAAAGGGAGCCUGUAAAAAGGCCUUCGUUCUGGGAUGAGCCUGCGUCCCAUCAGCUAGUUGGUGAGGUAAAAGCUUACCAAGGCAAUGACGGGUAGCUGGUCUGAGAGGACGGUCAGCCAGACUGGAACUGAAACACGGUCCAGAGUCCUACGGGAGGCAGCAGUGGGGAAUCUUGCGCAAUAGACGAGAGUCUGACGCAGCAACGCCGCGUGAGUGAUGAAGGCCUUCGGGUGGGAGCGCUCUGUCGGGUGGGACGAAAAUGCUUGGAGUUCACAGCGCCAGGAACUGACGGUACCACUAAAGGAAGCACCGGCUAACUCCGUG